AUUGAACGCUGGCGGAAUGCUUUACACAUGCAAGUCGAACGGCAGCACGGACUUCGGUCUGGUGGCGAGUGGCGAACGGGUGAGUAAUGUAUCGGAACGUGCCCAGUCGUGGGGGAUAACGUAGUGAAAAUUACGCUAAUACCGCAUACGAUCUAUGGAUGAAAGCGGGGGAUCGCAAGACCUCGCGGUAUUGGAGGGGCCGAUAUCAGAUUAGGUAGUUGGGGGGGUAAAGGCCCACCAAGCCAACGAUCUGUAGCUGGUCUGAGAGGACGACCAGCCACACUGGAACUGAGACACGGUCCAGACUCCUACGGGAGGCAGCAGUGGGGAAUUUUGGACAAUGGGCGAAAGCCUGAUCCAGCCAUUCCGCGUGCAGGAUGAAGGCCCUCGGGUUGUAAACUGCUUUUGUACAGAACGAAAAGGUUUCUACUAAUACUAGGAGCUCAUGACGGUACUGUAAGAAUAAGCACCGGCUAACUACGUGCCAGCCGCCGCCGUAA
rnacentral:rRNA from 1 species